GUUUCUGGUAGUCAUAAGCUAGUAGCAUGUUUAAUGGUUGUAGUCGAUGAAGAGCGUGGCAAAUGUCAGCAUGAUAUAAUAUUAUAUAUACCAUAUAGCUUUUUUUUCUUCUAAUGUGUAAUUAAAUAAUGAUAUAACAAGUAAGCUUAAAGACCGUAUAAACGAAUUCGAGUCAUUUGGGUUCCAAUUUGGUGCAGCUGUCGCAAAUUUCACUAUGGGCUGGAAAUCAUAGAUAUCUUAUAUACACUAGAUAGUGCAUCUAAUUAUUAUGCAAUUCAAAAAUUGAAGCCGUGAUUGCAGACUCAGGAUAUUCCCAAGAAAUGAGAAGACUCAUACUGUAUGUUUUCUAUUUCUUAAACAGGGAACUUAAACAUUAAGUUAAACCUAUUCCAAAUACAUUUUCAAACUGUUCAAAUGAUGAACGUUAUUGUUGUUUUUUAAGCGUUUAUUAGCGAGUGGGAAACUCCAACAUGGCCGCCAUCUAUUCAAAUGGGGGUAACCGCUGGAAUAUUCUUGGCUUCAAUUUUACUUAAAGAGAUGCGCUAUCUACUAUCUAGUGUAUAUACAUGUAAGAUAUCUAUGCUGGAAAUAUACUAAUUUAGUCGAUGUAAACAUCAGUAUAGGUUCAACAGACAAUGCACUAACUAUAUAUCAUACCAUUUACACGAAUAAAAAUAAUAAAAAAUAAAUAUACCCAUUCACAGUAUACCCAAUUAGUAUACAAUCAUUGUAAUUGUAAAUUAACCUAUUGCUAUGAAAUCAAAAUGACUUUACCAAACUAAAAGUUCUCAGCAAGUAUAUGGUGAAUUUCAAGAAGAGAGGGGAAUAUGAUCUUCAAUUGAUAUAUGUGCAUCAAUUGACCACUUGCGUAAUACACUAAAUUUUGAUCUAGACAAAAAUUUCAUCGCAGCUUGAAAGAGCAUCACAAAAUUAGUAAUAUUCCAAAGUUUCGUUGCGAAAUGUUGUAAAAUGCGGAUAAUAUAGCCUUGCGAAGUUUGCAAUUUUCAGUCAUUUUAGAUUACAAACGGGAAAUUGACAGCCCAAUACCCUUUGGGGCUGUCAAUUUCCCGUGUGUAAUCUAAAAUGACUGAAAAUUUCAAACUUCGCAAGGCUAUAUUAUCCGCAUUUUACAACAUUUCGCAACGAAACUUUGGAAUAUUACUAAUUUUGUGAUGCUCUUUCAAGCUGUGAUGAAAUUUUUGUCUAGACUUGUUAAGAUCAAAAUUUCGUCUAUUACGCAAAUGGUCAAUUAUUCAUACAGUAUAUGCAAAUCAAAUCACAAAUAAAAUUUUCAUUUCAUGUUUCAAAUCUCUAUGUCUGAAACCGCAAGUAAUCUUCUAUCCAUAUGUGAAAUAAAUCGCAUAUGAAAUCUUCAUUUCAAUUCAU